AUUAUUAUUAUUAUUAGAAUGAGAAGUGCUUGAUUUCAAGACAUAUUUUGCAGCAAAUACCCUCCGACAAUAAUUUUAAAGCAUCACCAGAAUGCCUGUUCAAAAAUGACAAAGUGAUUAGAAACACAAACACAUAAAUGUUGUGUCAUGGGAUGCUUUUGCAGAUAGGAAAAGACCAGGUGUAUAAUUCCAAACGUUAUUAACCAGCCUAGCUCCUCUUUGUACCUAUUCUUCAACAGCACUUUUACAUAUGUGGAAUAUUCCCGAAUACUAAAACAUUUACAAGCCACAAAACAACUGAGGGGAAUGUUAAAAAGGGAGGAAGAAGACCCCCGGUAUGCCUCUCCCACCCGAUUGUAUUUCGCCAUUAUGUCAGUUAACAACUACACUAGAAACAAGCACCAGAUUUUCCCCCCACUCUGUGAGUAAUUGUCUGCAUAGCAGUGACAGAUGUGCAAUAUAGCAGCUUCUUCAGGAAAAAAAAUUAACAGUUUGUCCAGCAUGUCAGCUCGCUCUUUUUAGUGCUUCGGAGGUCCUGGCCCCAUUAUGGAUGAUUUAGAAAUUGAGGCAAGCUAAGACCAGCUGCCGGAGUUGAAAGCCUUAGUUAGUAGGCUUCAUCUGCAUUCCAGUAUUCACUUACAUCUCGAAAUUGGUCGGGCCCCUCCGGCCACAAGAUGAGUGUGGGCUGACAAUGCCUUGAUUUGUCGAGAGAGAGAAUAAAUGGGUUUUUCAGAAGAUGAGGAAAUAUCACCAUUACUGGCCAAUUUACAGCAUUUUAUCUGUUCUUCAAACAUGUCACUUUUGUUAUUGUCGCAUGGUAAUUACAUAGUGAAACGGAAAGAAAACAAAUUCCGGUUACAUAUUCAGAUGGAUUGCAAAAUCAUAUAAUCCCGAUAAAUGCCCAUUUAUGAUACACACGGAUGAAAGGUUCAUUUUAAUUUUGAAUAGCUUGCACACAGCCAUAAAUACGAUAUAGGAUUAGAAUUUGCUGAAUCCGAUUAUGAAAAGCAAAUGGUAUUUUCCCCUCAUUUCCUCCUCCCCACAAGAACUUGCAAAUUUAUAAUGGGGAAUGUAUUUAAACUGGGUUUGGGGAUUGCUCCCCAACAAUCCACUCCUAUCAAUGACUUCAAAAAAUUAUAGAUACACACAAUAGGUGCGUGGGUGUGUUUUCUGAGCAGCUCCCUCAAGAAAUAGGGGGGUUAAUUUCACUAAAUGUGUCUUUCUGUGGAAAGAAGGCAAUCGUUGUGGCUCUUGUAAAAAGGAUCACAAUGUAUAUAGAAAGAGGCUAUUUCCCCUCCUCUAGGAAAGUACUUGGAAUGCAGAAAAGAGCUCAUGUCAUUAGACAUGACAAUACCAAUAACAAAGCCAGUGAUGAUAAAAAAGUGAUUCCAUUAUGCCAGAAUUUAUGUCGUCUUUUGGAUAGAAGACUUACAUCAUAUGCUAAAGCUUUGGAAAAUAUGUCACAAAUAUUUUAAAAAACUCUACCCAUGACAUUACUAAGAAACACCGAGCUCUCUUUUCAGGUGGUGAAAAUCACAAUCCACUAUAAAUGUUUAAUGCACAGAACCCAUUCAGAUGAAUACGAAUUGGGCAAGCAUCACAUCUCUAGUGACUGGUGACCACUGCAUGAGUAAAAGUAAUAAUAAUAAUAGUAAUAAUAAUAAUAAUAAUAAUAAUAAUAAUAAUAAAAAAACUUUAUUUAUACCCCGCCACCAUCUCCCCAACGGGGACUCGGGGUGGCUUACAUGGGCCAUGCCCAAAACCAUACAAUAUGACAAAAUAUAAAACAACAUAUCAUAACACAAUUUAACAAUACAAUAAAUAAUAACAUACAUUACAAUCCAAAAUUCAGAAAAAGCAAUAAAAACCAGGGCAGGCCACAUGAACACUAAAUUAAAAAUUAAAGGUUUCCCCUGACAUUAAGUCUAGUCACGUCUGACUCUGUGGGUAGGUGCUCAUCUCUAUUUCUUAGCUGAAGAGCCGGAGUUGUCCAUAGAUAGUUCCAAGCACCAUUACCUUCCCACCGGAGCAGUACCUAUUAAUCUACUUACAUUUGCAUGUUUUCAAACUGCUAAGUCAGUAGAAGCUGGGGCUGGAUGGUCAUGAUGUUGAUGAUGAGGCUUUAAAAGAUGAGUAUUUCCUUAACCACAAAUCACUUUUAAAUAUAACCAUUGCCUUGAAUGGACCCAUUGUUUCAGAGAUCAGCUAUAAUUGUCAAAUAACAUUUAAUAAUGUGGCUGAACCCAGGUUAAAAUUUCUGUUCCAUUAUAAAGUGUUCUGGAUUAUGAGUCUCAUAAAAAGUGUGAGAAUCAAACAGGAGGUUAUGCAAAGCCUGGCAUACUUUGCACAAAAAUAAAAAUUCUGCGACAAAGCUUGAUUCUGCAUAUAUUCUCCCAUUUUUUUCUUUGUGACUCUGUAUCAUUCAUGUGGCAUUCCCAGGGAUGGACAAAGGGUUAUACAAAGGAUGACCCAUGACAUUUUGUUUACCCUUCUGAAUUCUGUGAUGCCGUCAAGAACAGUCUGUACCUUCAGGUAUAUUUUCCUAAUAACAAUUUCAUCUUCAAAAACUGAAAAGCAAUGGAAGCUAUGUUUUUUCCUUACAUUUGUAGAGGUACAUUUAAAAAUGGGGAAGUCAGUUCAUCUACUAUGCCUCUCUUUGUUGCCUCCUUGGCUGUUCUUGCCAGGUCUUUUACCCCGUGGGAGACAGAAGCUAUACCACAAAGUCCAAUGGAUGAAACAAGAGCAACAGAAGGGGAGGGAGAGAAAUGGAAGCUGGUGACAUCAUACCAGAACAUAGUUUUUUAAACUGUUCCCCAUUGACAGUUAUUUUAGCAUUUUAGCAUACUUAGUUGUACCAACGCUAUGCUGUUGGUACAAUAGUUGUACUAACCCAGAUGCUGAAGAAAUGUAUUUUGGAAUCUGAAUCUGAGUUCUUUCAUCAAAGGUUGGAAACAUUCCUUUUGGGAUUAUCUCUUCCAGAAUCUCCCUGCUAGGAGGACCAGCAAUCAUGGAGGUGGGGGGUCCUGGGAGCUUAUACCUUCACAUAUGACAUAAUUUUUGUCUUCAUUAUUGCUUAAAAAUGGGGGGAAAGACCACUGUGUUCUGCUGACUUAUGAUCAGAAUAUUUACCAGAGUCAGGGUAUGCAGAAACACUUCAAUGCAACAUGGCCUAUUUAUACAGCAUGGUUAAACUAACACUCAAUACAGCUGAAAUUGAAUGUGUAUUUUCCUUUAAACCCCAGUGGCCACAAAAUUUGGCAGCAUUCCUGCAGAUACACACAGGAUCUAAGAAGUGCGGAGGCAUGCCAUGUUCUAGAAUGGAGAUCGAAUAAAGACAUUCUAUUGUGAUUCUGUCAUGGAUAAAUACAAUUAGGCAGUUGCUAAAUGCUUACCUGCAUCAAAGUCAAGACUGAUUCAUUUUUUGGCUAUUCUUAUUUAAAUGUGUCAUAAAUAUGACUAGGUGCCAGCAGUCCAAGCAACCAGCCUACAGCUAAAUCUGCUCUGAACUGAUUAAAUUAUAUCUGCCUGAACUUCCCUGACCAUGUAAUCACUUAAAGAUUUACAGUUUUAGGUCAGGUAUUACAGGUUAGAUUACAGUUAUAAUAAGCCUGAGGUUGGUGCAGGUGAAUAUUAUAAAUGACUGGCAUCAUUUUUAAUCUUUUAUCCCAAGCUGUCUGGGGCUAAUAAGGUAACCUUGAUCUUUCUUCUAAUUUGGACAAGGAAAUCAAUAUGUCACCUAUACUGAGACUUCAUCCAGACUGUUCCUUCACAAGAUGAUACUGGAAAACUGAAUGUCCACAGAGCUCUUUCCAAUUACAGCUGCCGGCUGUUGAUAGCUCGGAUGAUUCCUUAAUUGGGAAAGAAAGUGAAAAUAUUACUCCCAUGGCGGAACCAGAUGUUCUUAGUUCCCCAGAGAAUGUGUCCUUCAACAGAAGGGAGUUUCUGCAUCGCCAGAGAUCUGAGAAACAAGAACUCCGCAGGAGUAACCGCGUGGCAUCUCGAGGGGAUAAUGGAUAGAAGGUUUUUCCCUUGGAAACCUUUAGGGAGUUUGGCUUUCCUUGUUUGUGAUCAAAUCUAAGUUCCAUAAAAGUGCUUUGCACUGUGGACAAUUUGCGGUGUCAACUUUGCGAUUUCCUGAGAAAGGUUCACCGACUCUAGCUCCUGUUUCUUCCAAGCCAAGUUUCCAGAUCCUGGUGGCCAAGCCGAGCCAUGACUCCCAAGUAGACCCGGUUUAAGUCUACUUUCUUGCCUAGCUCCUGAAUCAAGUUUUGCCUCAGUUUCAUCACGUUCCUGCCUGGAUAUCAAAGACUUCCUAGUGACUUUGGACCUUGUUAUUUCAGCCAUGCUUCCUUGUUUUUCCCCGCUCAAGAACUUUCCGACAGUUUUGAGCGUGUUUUGGUUUUUGGACUUUGGACAAUAAAAUUGGACAUUUCCCUUCAAUUCUUUGGACUAAUUCAUGCCUUUUCACAAAGGACUAUUAUCUGCACAACUUUUCCACCUAUUCCUUCCUGGAUUUAUAACUGUUUUAAUAAAUAUAUUAUAUGUUUA